rnacentral:rRNA from 1 species
GACGAACGCUGGCGGCGUGCUUAACACAUGCAAGUCGAGCGGAAAGGCCCUUCGGGGUACUCGAGCGGCGAACGGGUGAGUAACACGUGAGUAACCUGCCCCAGACUUUGGGAUAACCCUCGGAAACGGGGGCUAAUACCGGAUACGACACAGCUUCGCAUGGGGUCUGUGUGGAAAGUUUUUCGGUUUGGGAUGGGCUCGCGGCCUAUCAGCUUGUUGGUGGGGUGAUGGCCGACCAAGGCGACGACGGGUAGCCGGCCUGAGAGGGCGACCGGCCACACUGGGACUGAGACACGGCCCAGACUCCUACGGGAGGCAGCAGGGGGGAAUAUUGCACAAUGGGCGGAAGCCUGAUGCAGAGACGCCGCGUGAGGGAUGACGGCCUUCGGGUUGUAAACCUCUUUCAGCAGGGACGAAGCGUAAGUGACGGUACCUGCAGAAGAAGCGCCGGCCAACUACGUG